AGUCGAACGCUUCUUUCCUCCCGAGUGCUUGCACUCAAUUGGAAAGAGGAGUGGCGGACGGGUGAGUAACACGUGGGUAACCUACCCAUCAGAGGGGGAUAACACUUGGAAACAGGUGCUAAUACCGCAUAACAGUUUAUGCCGCAUGGCAUAAGAGUGAAAGGCGCUUUCGGGUGWCGCUGAUGGAUGGACCCGCGGUGCAUUAUCUAGUUGGUGAGGUAACGGCUCACCAAGGCCACGAUGCAUAGCCGACCUGAGAGGGUGAUCGGCCACACUGGGACUGAGACACGGCCCAGACUCCUACGGGAGGCAGCAGUAGGGAAUCUUCGGCAAUGGACGAAAGUCUGACCGAGCAACGCCGCGUGAGUGAAGAAGGUUUUCGGAUCGUAAAACUCUGUUGUUAGAGAAGAACAAGGACGUUAGUAACUGAACGUCCCCUGACGGUAUCUAACCAGAAAGCCACGGCUAACUACGUGCCAGCAGCCGCGGUAAUACGUAGGUGGCAAGCGUUGUCCGGAUUUAUUGGGCGUAAAGCGAGCGCAGGCGGUUUCUUAAGUCUGAUGUGAAAGCCCCCGGCUCAACCGGGGAGGGUCAUUGGAAACUGGGAGACUUGAGUGCASAAGAGGASAGUGGAAUUCCAUGUGUAGCGGUGAAAUGCGUAGAUAUAUGGAGGAACACCAGUGGCGAAGGCGGCUCUCUGGUCUGUAACUGACGCUGAGGCUCGAAAGCGUGGGGAGCAGACAGGAUUAGAUACCCUGGUAGUCCACGCCGUAAACGAUGAGUGCUAAGUGUUGGAGGGUUUCCGCCCUUCAGUGCUGCAGCAAACGCAUUA
rnacentral:rRNA from 1 species